rnacentral:rRNA from 1 species
UGGUGGAAUGAUUUGUCUGUUUAAUUACGAUAACGAACGAGAUGAUCAUGGAAAAUAGGAAGAUUAAAUGAGAAUUUGAUGCUAUCCUUCUCUUCCAGAUUAAUGGAUUAAAGCCAUUUGAAAUGAUCGCAAUAACA